ACAGUACAGCGUAAACGCGCCAAUUCCUGCAAAGUAAUUUCUGUUGUUCGGUCGGUUUGGCAGAUCAAGGAAAUAUGGAUAAACCUGCAAAAAAGAAAAUACUGUGCAGCUACAACAAACAAUUGGAAGCAACAAAGAUGUGGGUUAAGCCCGUCAGUGGUGACUCGAUGAAAGCGUUCUGUACUUUAUGCCGUCGGGAAUUCUCAAUUGGCCAUGGAGAGGAGAAUGACUUAACUCAGCAUGCAUCCAUGGAAAUGCACAAGAAGGCCAUGCUAGCUAAAGGUGCUAGCAAUAUCGGUGCAUUAUUCGUAACUGUGCGGGAUAUUUUGGAUGAUAUGUACCGUCCGAAGGUGAGCCCGUGUAUUUCUUAGUUGCCAGUGAUGCCUCAAACAAGGGAAAUAGACAAAUGUUUCCAGUGCGUGUAAUAUUUUGGGGCGGCAGGGUAGCCUAGUGGUUAGAGCGUUGGACUAGUAACCGAAGAUCGAAUCCCCGAGCUGACAAGGUACAAAUCUAUCGGUCUGCCCCUGAACAGGCAGUUAACCCACAGUUCCUAGGCCGUCAUUGAAAAUAAGAAUUUGUUCUUAACUGACUUGCCUAGUAAAAUAAAGGUAAAAUAAAAUAAAUAAAAUAUUUAUGUGUCUAAUGGAAUGGAGUGCAGUGCAAGUUGUGAUGAAACUACAAAUGUCAUACAUCAAGCUCUGAUGAACUGUCUGGAAAAGCAUGAGCUGGAUAUUAGACACAUCACAGCCUAUGCAGCAGAUUAUGCCAAUGUCAACUUUGGAAAACACCACUCCGUUUACCAGUUAUUGAGCAGCGCCAACAAUCCCAUUCUGAAAGCUCACAUAGCUCAUAAUGCCUGCAAGCACGCCUGCUGUCAGUGGACAGCAUUGAGACAAUUGUUUUAAAGCUCUACAUGCGCUUCUCAGUAUAUGCUUCCCGAAGAGAGGAACUGGGUGCAUUUUUUUUGCCAUUGUUGACAUUGAGUGGCGUGAAAUUCUGCGACAUGUUUGUACACGAUUGGCCCUCGCUUCAUCCAGCUGUAGAUCGUAUCCUGCAAAGCUGGCCAGCUCUUACUUCAUACUUCAGGUCCCUUGGGGAGACCUGCCCUGAGGCACUGAAGAGUAUCAUUACAUACAUUGACAAGUGGUUUGAUUUGUCACCAGAAAAUAUCAUGGUGAAACUGAAACCGAUUGGCCUCUAUGAGCUCUCCUUCACUGACCUGGAGCAAGUGGUGGUUGCCCUCAAAAUGACAGAGACAGUCAGUAUGGACCAACUCUAUGAAGAGUUUUGUGCUAGCCGGGAGGAAAUACAGAAAACCAGACAGGAUACCACAAAAUCCACCAGUGAGAAGUGGGUGGCAGUUUUUCAAAACCUAGAGAAAGCCAACUUGAUCAACAUGUUCAGGAUUAGUCUCAUUUGUUCUCAGUAUGCCAGGCUCAAAUGCCUUUUGUAGAGAGGAUUUUCUCUCUGAUGUCCAUUUAAAUGGUCAGGCUCAAGAAACCGAUGCAGCACAGAGCUUUUCACAAAUGAACUUCAAAUAUCUGUGAACUGUGACUUGUCGUGUAAGGACUUCUCUCUGGCUAUGCAAAAGGACAAAGGACUGCUUGAAUCAGUCAAGAGCAGCAAAAAAUAUCCAUGGAAAAAGUAGACUUGGCACUUGGCUCUUCUGAGAAUCUCCUUGUCUUUGAACCUGAGCAGUUUCACCACUAUACUGUAGAUCUAGGCUGUCCAACUGCAAAGAAAGUGCCAUUCAUAUGUGCGCUCUCGAUGAGUUUAAGGUAGUCUCCUUUGGAAGAGUGCUUGUCAAGUGUUGUUUGGAAUAUUGCGAAAUCCCCAACAUGGUUUUGAGUGCGGUCUGGCUGGAUACAUUCUCCUCCUUUAUCUUCUCCACCUCUGACUGCGUAACUUCAAACUGUGUUUAAAUUCUAUUACAUCCUUAAACAGAUCAUCAACCCUUUUGUUGGUACAAUCCAUAAAGAUUUUUAUAUAACUGUUUUUGUUGAUCGAGUAGUUCAUGGAGUGUAGUGCUUGAAACGUAUUCCUCUUCUGAAUUGAGUUUUGAAAGUAUUUGUUUUUAAAUAUACUUAGGUAUCAAAAGUAAAUGUAAUGGCAAAAAUGUACUUAAGUGUCAAAAGCAGAAGUCAUUUCACAUUCCUUAUAUUAAGCAAACCAGACGGAAUGAUUUUCUUGUGAUUUUAAUUUAAACUCCAACGCUCAGCCAUAAUUUACUAACAAAAAAAUUUGUGUUUAGAGUGUCUGCCAGAUCACAGGCAGUAGGGAUGACCAGGGAUGUUCUCUUGAUAAGUGUGUGAAUUAGACAAAGUACUUUUGAGUGUCGGGUAAAAUGUAUGGAGUAAAAAGUACAUUAUUUUCUUCAGGAAUGUAGGUGGAGUAAAAGUUGUCAAAAAUAUAAAUAGUAAAAUGAAGUACAGAUACCCCAAAAAACUGCUUAAGUAGUACUUUAAAGCAUUUACUUAAGUACUAUUUGCACUAAUUCUCUACAUUUCCACACACGCACACAUUCAGUAACGCACGUACACACACCACACACAUUUAGUAACGCACUCACUCACACACACUCACCACUGCUGCCUUUAUUUAUUAUUAUUUAUUUACCAGUCUACCUUGUUCCUAACUAGUUACUAUUUGUACAGUGACCUAGUAUAUUCACAGUAUAUUCUGUACAUUUUACAAUAUAGUUCUUGUUUUUAUAUAAAAAAUAAAAAAAACUUUAUUCUCUACUUUUUGUAAUACUUUUUUUAUAACUGACAUAGUAUUUAUAUUUGUGACUGCUCUAGUUUUCCUGCUCAUUUUAUUAUUUAUUGCAAUGUUGAGGAAGAUCGCAAGUAGGCAUUUCAUUGCACUGUUUACACUGUAUCCUUUGCAUAUGAUGAAUAAACUUUGAUUUGAUUUGAAAUGUGUUUUGAAUUAGUUUAAGCAUGUGUAAUGUAGUUGGAGAGGCUUUGAUGGCUUU